UAGGGAGGUCAGGGCCAGGAGCACCCCCUGAGCCCAGGAUAACUCUUGAAGUUGGGGGGCA
rfam:Rattus norvegicus chromosome 7, whole genome shotgun sequence.